CCUACGGGAGGCAGCAGUGGGGAAUAUUGCGCAAUGGGCGAAAGCCUGACGCAGCGACGCCGCGUGAGGGAUGAAGGUCUUCGGAUCGUAAACCUCUGUCAGCAGGGAAGAACGGUCACUGUGCUAAUCAGCAGUGCAUUGACGGUACCUGCAAAGGAAGCACCGGCUAACUCCGUGCCAGCAGCCGCGGUAAUACGGAGGGUGCGAGCGUUAAUCGGAAUUACUGGGCGUAAAGCGCUCGUAGGCGGUAUGUCAAGUCAAGGGUGAAAUCCCCGCGCUCAACGGGGGAACUGCCUUUGAAACUGGCAAACUGGAGUGUGUGUGAGGAUAGUGGAAUUCGAGGUGUAGGAGUGAAAUCCGUAGAUAUCUGGAGGAACAUCAGUGGCGAAGGCGACUAUCUGGCACAUAACUGACGCUGAGGAGCGAAAGCGUGGGUAGCAAACAGGAUUAGAUACCCCUGUAGUC
rnacentral:rRNA from 1 species